AGAUUCUGCACUGUCAGCACGGGGCCCGACGCGGGACUCCAACUCAGGAAACCGUGAGAUGGUGACCUGAGCCCAAACUGAGCGUCGGAUGCCUCACUGACUGAGCCACCCAGGCGCCCGUUUUCAACUUAGUGUUGUGGCUCCGGGGUGGAAACGGCCUCCGUGUUUGUGCCCUACACAUCACCUAGCACAGAGCCUGGCUCGUGGAAGGCUCUGGAUGAAUGCUGGCGGAUAAACGAACAAAUGAAACGCCACCCUUUCCCCCAAAGUCAUAGACUAUUCCCGAAGAAAGGAAUCCCUGAGAAGCAAUCUUCCACGGUAACCCUGCCACCAAAAAACUUCCAGAGGAAAUGGAAGGACUGGCAGAGGAAGGGGAUUGUCCCCGGAGUCAUAACUCAUCUCGCCUGCAACUCGGGUCGAGGCAUCGAUGAAUCUUCACCCUCUGGCUCCUGCGCUCCCUGGCUAGCCGCUUCCCAGGCAGCCCUGAGGCAUCCAGCUCGGGCCCACGCCGCUGUUCACACCUUCCAUGGCAUCCAGGGGGGACGGUCCCUUCCGGGAGCCUCAGAAAUAAAGAAGAAUGAGCCGAGGAGGCUUCUGGUCCUAUCUCUGCCAACGUCACCUUCUGAGCUCCUCUCUGCUCACGGAGGCCCAGACGCUGAAUCAAAGCUCAUGGGGCCAGUUGGCAAGAGGCAGGCAGAGGCCUGACCCCACUGCCUCGGCUUCUCUGCAAAUCCAAACCAGCCGGUGAGGAAGGGGGGACGACGGACGGAUGGCCUCCUCCGACAGUGCGUCCCAAGACAUUUGGUUCAUUCAUUUAUUCAGCAGGCAUGCAUUGAGGCCUUGCUGUGGCCCAAGCAUUGAGCUGGUCAGCAGUGAGCCGGGCACAGAUGUGGCUUGAAAGGACCCCCGUUUGACCGUGUUGGGCGGAGAGGAGGCAUGGACAGGUCAUUGAAAACACCGCACAGGCCGGUGCUGGGACUGAGCCAUACACAGGGCUGCGGGGAGCCCCGGAUGUGGCUUCCAGCUGGAGGAGAGGUGGGGCAAUUAGUCAGGGGAGGCUUUCUGGAGGAGGUGAUGCCUGAACCGUGUGAUAAAGGAUGAGUAAGCAUUGGGGGGGGGGGGGAGGUCAGGCUGGGGGUGAUGAGAGCAUUCUGGGCAAAGAAGGCAGGAAGGUGUGUGCCCAAAGGCUGGAGAAAGUAUCAUGCGUGUGCACGUGUGUGUGUGUGUGUGUGUGUGUGUGUGAGUUGUGUGGCUGGCAUAUUAAAUGAGAGCUGGGCCGUACAAAGGAUAAAGGAGGGCCUCAGGCUCCUUGCUAAGGAGUUGUGUUUAGUCCAUGAGGGAUGGGGAGGUGCAAAGACAGGAGAGUGAAACAGAGUCACGUCUGCCACGGGGACUGUGUGGGUUCCAUGUCACGGAAACCGAGUUUCAACUACCUUGAGCACAAAAGGUAGUUAUCAGCUUUCAAAACUGCGGCGUCUGGGGACAGCUCUGCCUUCAGGAAGAGCUGAAUCCAGGUGCUCAGCCCAGGUCGGCAAGAACUCCGCCUUUGUCUCCACCUCCCUCCGUGUGGGCUCCAUUCUCAGGUGGGCGCUCCCCGCACAGCAGCAACAGAGGGCCCCGGCCAUUCCUGUCCCCCGGCCCGGACGCCUGCUCCAGGGUAAGUCCUGCGGCUGCUCUCAUUGGCUGGAAGUGAGUCACGAGCCCAUCCCUGAGCCAAUCAUGGUGCCCGAUUUGCGAAGCUUGGGUCACUUGCCACCUGCGGGCGGUGGGUGGGGGCAGCCACGCGGAUUGAGGGGCGUGGGGUGGGAUGCCAUCCCCAAGGUGAAGUACCCGCGCUCCGAUCAGGAACAGGGAAUUGAGGGGCCGGCCGGUGAAAAUAACAGACGUCCAGUCACAUACUGUAUGGUUCCACUUACAGGAAGUGUCCGGAAGAGUGGUUCAUUUUAUGUUAUGUGAAUCUCACCUUAAUACGAAACAAAAACACAGCAGCUGUCCGUCCGCAGGGAUCCUAGGAUGCACCCUCAUUCCACAGGGCCUGCUCGCUGAGGGCGAGCGGGGCAGGGGCAGAGAGAGAGGGACACAGAAUCUGAAACAGGCUCCAGGC